GAUGAACGCUGGCGGCGUGCCUAAUACAUGCAAGUCGAGCGAACGGACGAGAAGCUUGCUUCUCUGAUGUUAGCGGCGGACGGGUGAGUAACACAUGGAUAACCUACCUAUAAGACUGGGAUAACUUCGGGAAACCGGAGCUAAUACCGGAUAAUAUUUUGAACCGCAUGGUUCAAAAGUGAAAGACGGUCUUGCUGUCACUUAUAGAUGGAUCCGCGCUGCAUUAGCUAGUUGGUAAGGUAACGGCUUACCAAGGCAACGAUGCAUAGCCGACCUGAGAGGGUGAUCGGCCACACUGGAACUGAGACACGGUCCAGACUCCUACGGGAGGCAGCAGUAGGGAAUCUUCCGCAAUGGGCGAAAGCCUGACGGAGCAACGCCGCGUGAGUGAUGAAGGUCUUCGGAUCGUAAAACUCUGUUAUUAGGGAAGAACAUAUGUGUAAGUAACUGUGCACAUCUUGACGGUACCUAAUCAGAAAGCCACGGCUAACUACGUGCCAGCAGCCGCGGUAAUACGUAGGUGGCAAGUGUUAUCCGGAAUUAUUGGGCGUAAAGCGCGCGUAGGCGGUUUUUUAAGUCUGAUGUGAAAGCCCACGGCUCAACCGUGGAGGGUCAUUGGAAACUGGAAAACUUGAGUGCAGAAGAGGAAAGUGGAAUUCCAUGUGUAGCGGUGAAAUGCGCAGAGAUAUGGAGGAACACCAGUGGCGAAGGCGACUUUCUGGUCUGUAACUGACGCUGAUGUGCGAAAGCGUGGGGAUCAAACAGGAUUAGAUACCCUGGUAGUCCACGCCGUAAACGAUGAGUGCUAAGUGUUAGGGGGUUUCCGCCCCUUAGUGCUGCAGCUAACGCAUUAAGCACUCCGCCUGGGGAGUACGACCGCAAGGUUGAAACUCAAAGGAAUUGACGGGGACCCGCACAAGCGGUGGAGCAUGUGGUUUAAUUCGAAGCAACGCGAAGAACCUUACCAAAUCUUGACAUCCUUUGACAACUCUAGAGAUAGAGCCUUCCCCUUCGGGGGACAAAGUGACAGGUGGUGCAUGGUUGUCGUCAGCUCGUGUCGUGAGAUGUUGGGUUAAGUCCCGCAACGAGCGCAACCCUUAAGCUUAGUUGCCAUCAUUAAGUUGGGCACUCUAAGUUGACUGCCGGUGACAAACCGGAGGAAGGUGGGGAUGACGUCAAAUCAUCAUGCCCCUUAUGAUUUGGGCUACACACGUGCUACAAUGGACAAUACAAAGGGCAGCGAAACCGCGAGGUCAAGCAAAUCCCAUAAAGUUGUUCUCAGUUCGGAUUGUAGUCUGCAACUCGACUACAUGAAGCUGGAAUCGCUAGUAAUCGUAGAUCAGCAUGCUACGGUGAAUACGUUCCCGGGUCU
rnacentral:rRNA from 1 species